UGCGGCGGAAAUCUUAAUACCAAAUUUUACAGGUUACAAAAAUUUUACAUUAUUUUAUCGGAGUGAUUACAAAAGUAUAAGUUUGAAAUAUAUGCUAGCUCAAGUGAUCAUCCUCAAUAAGAAGAUAAAGACGGGGUAUACUUAUAUAAGAAGGCCGAGCCCACCGGCACUUAACACCAUCACAAUAGCACAAGGUUAGAACCUGAAAAACAUCAGGGAAUAAAACCCUAAGUAUGGAAUUACUCAGCAAGUCUUACCCGACUAAGGAAAAGACUCUCAAGGGUAUGCUGGAUAAAUAGGAGUCAAGAAGAGGCUUUAGCAAAAAUCAACUUAUAGUUUUGUAGAAGUAGCUUACUAAAGUGAGUCCUUACUUUCAAUCUUUUAACGCCAUAUUAAGUCUUAAUAGACUCUAUUUGCAUCUAGUCUAAUUUCAAUAUCUCAUCAAUACAACAUCAUUUU
rnacentral:lncRNA from 1 species